UCGACCGCGUGUAAGAAGAAGCUA
rnacentral:misc_RNA from 1 species